AGAGUUUGAUCAUGGCUCAGAAUGAACGCUGGCGGCGUGCCUAACACAUGCAAGUCGUACGAGAAAGGGGCUUCGGCCCUGAGUAGAGUGGCGCACGGGUGAGUAACGCGUGGGUAAUCUACCCUUGGAUUUGGGAUAACUCUGCGAAAGUGGAGCUAAUACCGGAUAGUCUGGCUUUAAAUAAGAAGUCGGUAAAGGAUGCCUCUGCAUAUGCAUUCGUCCGAGGAUGAGCCCGCGUCUCAUUAGCUAGUUGGUAGGGUAAUGGCCUACCAAGGCAACGAUGAGUAGCUGGUCUGAGAGGAUGAUCAGCCACACUGGAACUGAAACACGGUCCAGACUCCUACGGGAGGCAGCAGUGGGGAGUAUUGCGCAAUGGGCGAAAGCCUGACGCAGCAACGCCGUGUGAGGGAUGAAGGCUUUCGGGUCGUAAACCUCUGUCGGAAGGGAAGAACGGGCAUUGGUCUAAUAGGCCUUUGUUUUGACGGUACCUUUAGAGGAAGCACCGGCUAACUCCGUGCCAGCAGCCGCGGUAAUACGGAGGGUGCAAGCGUUAUUCGGAAUUACUGGGCGUAAAGCGCACGUAGGCGGCCUUGUAAGUCAGGGGUGAAAUCCCACGGCUCAACCGUGGAACUGCCUUUGAAACUGCAGGGCUUGAAUCCUGGAGAGGGUGGCGGAAUUCCUGGUGUAGGAGUGAAAUCCGUAGAUAUCACGAGGAACACCGGUGGCGACGCGGCCACCUGGACAGGUAUUGACGCUGAGGUGCGAAAGUGUGGGGAGCAACAGGAUUAGAUACCCUGGUAGUCCACACCGUAACGAUGGAUACU
rnacentral:rRNA from 1 species